AAGGUACUCCCUCCAUUCAAAAAUACUUGUCGCAUAAAUGGAUACAAAUAGAUGUAUUUAGAAUUAAAAUACACUAGAUAUAUUAAUUCUUAUGACAAGUAUUUUUGGACGGAGGGAGUAGUAU
rnacentral:pre_miRNA from 1 species